rnacentral:rRNA from 1 species
UACAGAGGUCUCAAGCGUUGUUCGGAUUCAUUGGGCGUAAAGGGUGCGUAGGCGGCGCGGUAAGUCGGAUGUGAAAUCUCGGAGCUUAACUUCGAAACUGCAUUCGAUACUGCCGUGCUUGAGGACUGGAGAGGAGACUGGAAUUUACGGUGUAGCGGUGAAAUGCGUAGAUAUCGUAAGGAAGACCAGUGGCGAAGGCGGGUCUCUGGACAGUUCCUGACGCUGAGGCACGAAGGUCAGGGAGCAAACGGG